GGGGGACACAGGCUGGAUGGGGGGACACAGGCUGGAUGGGGGACACAGGCUGGAUGGGGGACACAGGCUGGAUGGGGGGACACAGGCUGGAUGGGGGACACAGGCUGGAUGGAGGGAUACAGGGUGGAUGGAGGGACACAGGGUGGAUGAUACAGGAUGGGUGGAUGGAUGGAUUGAUAGAGGGUGGAUGGAGAGCUACAGGGUUGAUUGCAGGAUAUGGUGUGGAGGGGUAUGGGGUGGAUGGAAGGAUGGAGGGAUGGAUGCAGGGUGGAUGGAUACAGGUUGGAACGAUACCGAGUAGAUAGAGGGACAGGGGGUGAAUGGAGGGAUACUGGGUGGAUAGAGGGACAGGGGGUGAAUGGAGGGAUAUUGGGUAGAUAGAGGGACAGGGGGUGAAUGAAGGGAUACUGGGUGGAUAGAGGGUGAAUGGAGAGAUACUGGGUGGAUUGAGGGACAGGGGUGAAUGGAGGGAUAUUGGGUAGAUAGAGGGACAGGGGGUGAAUGAAGGGAUACUGGGUGGAUAGAGGGUGAAUGGAGGGAUACUGGGUAGAUAGAGGGACAGGGGGUGAAUGGAGGGAUACUGGGUAGAUAGAGGGACAGGGGUGAAUGAAGGGAUACUGGGUGGAUAGAGGGUGAAUGGAGGGAUACUGGGUAGAUAGAGGGACAGGGGGUGAAUGGAGGGAUAUUGGGUAGAUAGAGGGACAGGGGGUGAAUGAAGGGAUACUGGGUAGAUAGAGG
ensembl:lncRNA